UAUUAAAUUAAGAAGCAAAAGUUGGUACCAGGCUUCUGUGAUGUGAAGCUAGAAGCCACAAAAGUUCUUUCACAGUUUCUUUCCUUCAAUCUUUUGACUCUCAUUUCCACCAAGAGCAGAUGGAUUAUACAAAAAGCGUGAAAUAUCUAUAAAAUGUAUUUAAACAUACAUUUUUGAAAUGAGCUUAAAACCUAUCGGAUGGAAAACAGAAUAGUUGUAUAACGUUCCCAAAAAUCCGUCUUGGCGUCAACCUUCAAUACAUUAGAUAACUAUGUUUUUUUGAGAGCGGCCUCCCUGUUUGACCGCAAUUGCCGGGCGGUAUCAUUUAUCAUACGACCCCGAUUACUGGACACAGUUACGCACCUGCUACCCCUGGCUAUUGCCUGAGCCACCCACAUUCUGGCCAAGUUGAACGCACGUGGCAAUCAAAGCGCACAGCAUGGGCGUCAGCACAUGGCACACGCCCACACACUUAGAUGCAAAGCGGUUACAAUGUGGAGUGUGUUCUCUUCUGGCCCAUACAUCAACAACUUACACAUAUAUCAGGAGUUGUGAUCAAUUAGUUCCUUUGACAGCUGCGUUGGAGCUCGUGGGCUAACAAACUAAACAACCUUAUCCCGAGCAGUUGCAAAUGGACUUCCAAUUGGUUUAUUUAAUCGAUAGAUUAAAUGAAUCGCUUAUAAGAAAGAAAAAAACCAAUUUGAACCCGAAAAAGAAAUAUUUAAAAUUUUAAUUUGUUUAAUAUUAUUAAAAUUGGUAGAAGCUUCAUUUACCCUACUGUUUUUUUUUUUUUUGGAUAGUUAAGUUAGAUAAUCUGAUCACUAUUGCAUCCAAAAUUAUAUUUUAAAUCACCAUCAUCGUGCAUCUAAAACUAAAUUAUAUUUUAUACUGCUGCUCUUCUUCUUGCGAGCAUACGUGCAUGAUCAGAAUUUCAUAUUUUUAUACAAAAACACAUGCACACCCACACUUAUUACAUAAUCUGCAUUGUUCCGACGCAGUUGCAAUGUGCGGCCCUUUAUAUGCUGCUUGAUCUUCUUCUUGCGAACAUACAUGUAUGAUCGGCUUUUAUACUCGCAGCUUCAACUAAAACCACAGCCAAUAGGCAGUCCUUUUUCUACUGCUUGUAUGUUCGCAAGAAGAAGAGCAAGCAGUAUAUAAGGGCUGCUCAUUGCAGCUGACUUUUAGUUGAAGCUGUGUGGCGAGCCGGUCAUGUGCGUUGCGUGUGUGUAUGUAUAAAAAUAUGUAGAAGUCGCGAACUGGUCCGGUACAGAUGGUGUGGUUCGACGUUCAACAUAAAAUGCAGAUCAUGCAUGUAUGCUAGCAAGAAGAAGAACAAGCCAUAUAUAAUGGGCUGUUCAUUGCAGCUGUGUUUUAGUUGAAGUCGCGAGGCAGUCCAGUGCAUAUGAUCAUGUGUGAAAGCCAGCAAGAAGAAGAGCCAUUAGAAUAAAAAGGGAAGGUUGUCAGUUGAAGAUGCCAUGCGGCCCAUCGCAGAAGCUUUUAAAACAGCAGUUUAAUUUAUAUAUCGUCUGAUAUAUUUGAAUGUUGAUUGAAUUGAAUUAAAGAGUACAAUGAUUUAGAA